rnacentral:rRNA from 1 species
UACGGAGGAUGCAAGCGUUAUCCGGAAUGAUUGGGCGUAAAGCGUCCGCAGGUGGCAAUGUAAGUCUGCUGUCAAAGCGUCUGGCUCAACCAGAUAAAGGCAGUGGAAACUACAUAGCUAGAGUAAGGUAGGGGUAGAGGGAAUUCCUGGUGUAGCGGUGAAAUGCGUAGAGAUCAGGAAGAACACCGGUGGCGAAGGCGGAUCUCUGGGCCUUACCUGACGCUGAGGCGCGAAAGCUAGGGGAGCAAACAGG